AGGGGAUUCCUAGCGGGCCUUAUUUCUGAUUUUAUACAGCCCCCCAAAUUCUCUUACAUGUUUGCACAUUUCCUUCAGCUGCGUCCCUAGGGGUUUCGUGUGGUUCUGACACUGACACCAAGUCAGCUCCGGGGCCUCAACCCCCCGGGGAGGCAGUGGCACCGCGUGGCUUUCAGGUUGGGACACACCGUCGUGCCAUUAAGGACGUGUUUAUCAAUCACUGUUUCACUGGGGGCAUUUUAAAAAGAGAAUGAACGUUGAAUCCAUCCAGUGUUUUGUCAGCAUCUGUGGAGAUGAUCGUGUUCUUCCUUUUUGUUCUAUUAAACGGUGGUUUACAUCAGUAGGUCUGAUAUUGGGCUAGUCCUGCUCCACUGGAAAAAAACGCUUGGUCACAGUAUAUGCUCCUUUCCGCACACUGCCAGGUUAGAUUUCCACCAUUACUUAUAUAUUAGAUCAAUCGAUGCUCUUCUAUUUACUGAUUUCUUUGUUGUCAAAGUUCUGCUUGCUUCACUGAAACACACUGGAAGUUGAAUCAGUAUGUUGCACCCUGACACGCGGGACACGGAGUGUCAGUUACACCCCAAAAAUAACCGAGGGGAGCUUUCUGCUUCCGUGCUUGGAACAGACGGGGAAGCGGCGCAGCCAGAACCGUACCCACGUGAGCUGGAAAUGGGUCUUUGAUGUGUGUCUGUUGGAAAUGAAAAGAUAAAUGAUACUGAGGGAGAAAUUUAUAUUUUAAUAGCAGGAGUUGUGUUUUUGGUAAAAUUCCAAGUUUGGCUCCCGGCACGUUUGUUGGUUAAUUUGGAAGUUGUUUGGAGGCCAGAUUUUAAUUCUAUUUAAAAAGCAUUAUUUUAUGCUCAUAAAAUGUAAUUUAAUAAACAACAAAGAGUUUGCUGUAUGAAGCUCAGGUUCCUACAAGACAAGGAAGGACUCCCUGCUGGACAAGCACCAGGAGGGCACUGCACAUGGACACACACGCGUGCAUGUGGACACCCAGAGGGAACGCAGGCGGACACACACGUGCACGUGUCCAUGCCCAGAUGGACAUGCAGACCUCUCACCCCUCGGCAGGUGACGGAUGCCUCAGUGGAGGGGACACCUGCCUGCUUUGCGGACGGUCACCCAGGCAGGAAGCGGAGGACUCAGGAGGGCGCCUGCCCCGGGAGCCUCCAGGUGCAGGGAAAGCCCGACGNNNNNNNNNNUGAAUAAGAGAUGCAAAUAGGGAAGGGUGUGGGCAGGUCUGCAAAAAUAACCUAG
rnacentral:lncRNA from 12 species